UACCAAAUCUUGACAUCCUCUGACCCCUCUAGAGAUAGAGUGGUUUCCCCUUCGGGGGACAGAGUGACAGGUGGUGCAUGGUUGUCGUCAGCUCGUGUCGUGAGAUGUUGGGUUAAGUCCCGCAACGAGCGCAACCCUUAAGCUUAGUUGCCAUCAUUAAGUUGGGCACUCUAAGUUGACUGCCGGUGACAAACCGGAGGAAGGUGGGGAUGACGUCAAAUCAUCAUGCCCCUUAUGAUUUGGGCUACACACGUGCUACAAUGGACAAUACAAAGGGAGCGAAACCGCGAGGUCAAGCAAAUCCCAUAAAGUUGUUCUCAGUUCGGAUCUGUAGUCUGCAACUCGAGUACAUGAAGGCUGGAAUCCGGG
rnacentral:rRNA from 1 species